CCUCUCUUGGAUUGUGAGUUCAUCAGCUACAUCAUGGCUGGUCUUGGGUUAGAAUAUGAUCCUCUAACAACCUCUCUCACUACACAACUUGAUCCACUGUCUAUCCAAGAGGUUUAUGGUCAUCUCUUUCAAUAUGAGA